UUUCUGUAGUUGAACCUGCGGAAGGAUCAUUACCGAGUGAGGGCUCCGGCCCGACCUCCAACCCCAUGUGAACCGAAACCUGUUGCUUCGGGGGCGACCCUGCCGUUCGCGGCGUGGGGCCCCCGGAGCCCAUCAAACCCUGCGUAACUAAGUCGUCGGAGUUUAAACAAAUUAAACAAAACUUUCAACAACGGAUCUCUUGGUUCGGGCAUCGAUGAAGAACGCAGC
rnacentral:misc_RNA from 1 species